GCUGACUGGGCCUCUGUGGUGCAGGCAGUUUGGGAGCUCAGCUGAUGCUGCACGGCUAUUUCCUUUCGAUCCGGAGACUGAAUGUUUACAGUCUGCUUCCACAACCUAGGAUGAUGCAAUGUUAAACAAGAGAAGGUUCCUGGUUAAAAUCCAGGUUUGGCUUGCAUCUGCAUGGGUCUUCUCUGGCUACUCCGGCUUCCUCCCACAGUCACAAAUGUCAGUGUUGCAGAACAGUUUUGAAUUGUUUUAAAUUGUUUUGUGAAGUGGUGGUUUACUCAUAAUUUGCCUUGACAUUAGGUGACCGUUUGACCUUU